rnacentral:rRNA from 1 species
GACGAACGCUGGCGGCGUGCUUAACACAUGCAAGUCGAACGAAGUGGCGAACGGGUGAGUAACGCGUAAUCAACCUGCCCUUCAGAGGGGGACAACAGAUGGAAACGACUGCUACUACCGCAUACCGACGGAGGGGAUUGCGUCUGAUUAGCUAGUUGGAGGGGUAACGGCCCACAAGGGCGAUGAUCAGUAAACAGUGUGAGAGUCAGAACGGCCACAUGGUGACUUUGACGCGGCCCAGGAUCCUACGAGAGGCAGCAGCGGGGAACCUUCCGCAAUGGACGAAAGUCUGACGGAGCAACCGCACGUGAGUGAUGGCGACCUCGGGUUGUAAAGCUCUGUUUGUCGGGACGCGGUACCGGAAUAGAAAGCCACGGCUAACUACGUGCCAGCAGCCGCGGUAAUUC